GACGAACGCUGGCGGCGUGCUUAACACAUGCAAGUCGAACGAAGAGCGAUGGAAGCUUGCUUCUAUCAAUCUUAGUGGCGAACGGGUGAGUAACGCGUAAUCAACCUGCCCUUCAGAGGGGGACAACAGUUGGAAACGACUGCUAAUACCGCAUACGAUCUAAUCUCGGCAUCGAGGAUAGAUGAAAGGUGGCCUCUACAUGUAAGCUAUCACUGAAGGAGGGGAUUGCGUCUGAUUAGCUAGUUGGAGGGGUAACGGCCCACCAAGGCGAUGAUCAGUAGCCGGUCUGAGAGGAUGAACGGCCACAUUGGGACUGAGACACGGCCCAGACUCCUACGGGGGGCAGCAGUGGGGAAUCUUCCGAAAUGGACGAAAGUCUGACGGAGCAACGCCGCGGGAGGGAUGACGGCCGUCGGGUUGUAAAGCUCUGUUAAUCGGGACGAAAGGCCUUCUUGCGAAUAGUGAGAAGGAUUGACGGUACCGGAAUAGAAAGCCACGGCUAACUACGUG
rnacentral:rRNA from 1 species